ensembl:lncRNA
CUUACCUCGGGAUAAAGGGAGGAAAGAGGGGUUUGUGGCCAGAUUGACAGAGGAAGGGUGGAUGGAGAGAACUGAGCGCUCACUGCACUGGAACGGAGAGCCUGGACCUUAACUUCUGUGGCUGGAUUGAUCGGUUUUGAUAAGGUAAACGAACAUUAUAGGAAGUUGCUGUUGUGAGAGAGAAAAGGCCACAGUGGUGUUUGUGUGUGAGUGAGGGUGAGACCGGCCAGGCUGACACAAACGAGAAGGUAAGAAUGCGACAGUUACCGUGAGUGACUGGCGGACGACAAAAGUCUAUAACUGGAGGAAACUGGGCGGAAAGUUAGGGCGGAUGGGGUGGAGAAGAAGGAAGAAAGGAAGACUUGACUAGAGUGAUGAUAAAACAGGGCAGAAAAAAGUGGAAGAACAGAGAGAGAGAGAGAGGCAGAUGGAGGGGGAGCAUGGGAGGGGCGUUGUGACAGACCCAGUCUGAGCUUUCUCAGGGUCCCGCUGUCAGCGCUGUGCCGCCUCUCAUGUUUUUCAGUAUACAAGUUGGCCUAUUCAUAUAGAAAGUCAUUCACAGACGACACAUGUUCAUACUACAUCUGUUGUAGGAGUUUGUAUGUAGCUAUGAAUGCUGUUGUUGGAGGGUAUGUAUCGAGGUCAGUGUUAACUCCUCAUUUAACUCGUGUAAGGAUUACUCUGCGUGAGCCCAGGUCAGACCAUGUGUCUCUCUCUCUGAUAGUGCUUACAUUUCAUAUAUGUACAGUUGUGUGUAGGUUACACUGAAUAGUCCUGCUGUUACAAUGUUUCUGCACACUGUUAGUGUAUACGUAUGCAUAUGCGUGGGCUUGCGUGAGCGCGUCCUUUGAGAAGGAUUUGGGUUACCAGCAGUCUGUCAUGGAUCUAGGCUGUUAACACUUAUACAAUGCGAUGCAUAUAUAAACAUGUACUCAACAAAUAUAGACCAGGGCUGGAUACUUAAUUUACUUGCACCUUGGUGGCUAUGUAUAUAUGGAUACAAACAAGCUACUUUAAAGAAUCUCUAACAAAUUUGAUGCAGCUAAAACUUCAGUCAUAUUUAUACUUGGUGGUCUCUUUGGUGAUAUAUUGCAUGUUUGGAAACCUCUGAAAAAUGGUUUCACAUGAAUUUUUUAUGGUAAAUACAGCCUGGAAGAAACUAAUGCUUUGUUAUUUAUAUUUAUGACAUUUUAAAAAAGAAAUACAAACCUAUUUCCGUGAUUCUAAAACGCCUUUUCUUCACACUAUCAGCUUUUAUCAACUGCAACCAAAGACUUUUUUUCAAAUUUUUUCCAUGUUUAUGAUACAGUCACAUGAGGCCCCGUCCUUGAAUAGAGUCGUGGCUAUCAGGCUGAUGAAUGAUAUUAGUGAAUGUUUUAAUUAACCCCUGAAUGCCUAGUGUAAACUAGUGUGACUGGUGUAAACUUAUAUAAACUUCAAUAAAUUACACAAUAGAUUUCUAAGCAAUAAAAUGCACUCACUCCCCCACCCAAAAAAAACAAACAAAUAAAUAAUUCUUUACAUCCUGCAGCAAAUAGAGUAAAAGUGAAAACUCAUGCACUUAUGCAAAUUAAUAUUGCUGUAUAAUUAAUAUUAUAAUUUUAAAAUUUUUAUUUUCAGUUUCAGGGUUCAGCUUUUAAAGUGUUAAAGUGUUGGUUUUAUUACCAUGCGUGUUAUGUGGACAGUUGUUUUAUGAGAUGAGAUUAAUGUAAUUAUACAUAAUGUAUGAUAUGCGUGACGUCAGUCGUUGCAGGAUGCAGUUCUGCUGAGUUUUUUUUUUUUCUUAAAGAAGCUGUGCUGCACUCCAGCCUCCUUUGGGUCCCAUGUGGAGGCACAAAGUGUGUGUAUGACAGAAGAAGGAGGAUCAGUCUGACUAUGAGUUCAUCUGUAAAUGAUGUCUGGCCAGCAUCUUGAUCAAUUUCACAGACUGCAGACCCCCUGAUGCGUGCAUGUGUGUGUCCUGCUGUCUUCUCUGGUAGACAGAUCUCUAAUCAACUGCAGACAGCAGCAGGUGGUGUGUGUGUGUGUGUGUGUGUGCAAUACCAGUCAUCAUUUAACCCCCUCCCUAUCACUGUCUGAGGUUUUAGGGUGUUAACACCUGUUCAUACCGUCAUACUCAUACACUUGUAGCUGAGAAACUGCAUACCAAAAUAUCACCAAACAAUGUCAAAAUAUUCACUUUUAAUACUGGAAGUGAAUACAAAUUCAGUAAAUGCAAUAAAAAGAAAAAAGAAGUACACACACUCACACACACAUAUGCCCGAAAUUCUGACUUGAACUAAUUUAAUUACAUGUAAAUUGUUCAUUGAAUUUUUCUAUGCAAGUGCAAUUUAAAUUGCUACAUUUAACAGGAUCUGGUCCAAUAAAAUUAUACCUGAUUGUUAUACUUUUUGUACUUAUUUAAAUAAAUAAACCUUUGAUUUUUAUACAUUUCAGAUGCGUUUCAUCCAAAAUUCUGGCUUCAUUUUAAUUGUGGUUGAAGAAAAGGUAGAUAAUGAUCAUUCAAAAUACAAGUUAUGUUAUGGAAUAAACGGAGUUCAUAAUGUUGACUGAUUAUUUGAGGUAACCUUUAUAGCAAACCAAAUACUUUUCAUUUGCUUAAAGUUAUUUAUUAUUAUUCAUUAAAAAUAUAUGAUUAAACUGUAAAAACCGUGGAAAAACUGCUAAUGUAAAAGCAUUCACAGUGUUUAAUUAACAUCAAAAGGCAGCCUGUGCUCUUCAAUUCAAUUUGCAUUUUUUUUUAACUAUGUAGCACUAAUUCACAACAACAGCACCCUCAGAGCGCUUUAUAAUUGUAUGGUAAAGACUCAGGUUCGGACUCAAACCCGGGCCACUGCUCUCUGACCGUAUGGCAUGCAGUUGCCUGCUGACUCACAGGUACUAAAGUAGUACCUGUUACCCAUCUAUUCACAACUUAGACACAGCUUACACUAAGUUUUAAACCUAAAUUUUUCAAUUACACUAUAUGGACAUGCUUUCUGUCUCCAGGGAAGUUAUGUCCCCCAGAUGUAACACACACACAGGCUUCAGCUAGUUAAGACAAAGCUCAUAUGUGCAUUCAUGUAUGGCUUUAUAUGCUUUAUAAAAGACCGUGUGUGUGUGUGUGUCUUCUGAUCAUGUGUGUGUGCUGGUGUGGAGGAGAAGGGGGACAUUAUUGCAGUGGGUGGACAAAGGUGGGGUGUGUGUGUGUGUGUGUGUGUGUGUGUGUGUAGCGUGGUACAGUAGCUUGAACCCCCACCCACCACCUGCAACACCACCAGCCCAUAUGGCAGUAGACAGCAGUAAUAAUCAUGGAAGUGGAGCAACAGGCCCUGAGCCUCACUAAUCCUCAGCCACACUCCGACACGUGCCACACUGAUGCAUACACCCACCCUAUGGACACACACACACAUACACACACACACUGAAUGGUACUGAAGGUACCAUUUAUAUAUGCAAUCAUGCAUACACACACACAGUCUCACAAAUGCAUAUACUAACGAACAGAACAGAGUCGAAUUACAAGGAAUGUUUAUUGCUCUGUAGCGGGUGGAGCUGCCACUGUUGUCUCAGUAGGUCCUGGUUUAUCUUGCUUCAUUAAUAAGAACACUGUGCCAAAAUACACAUAAACAAACACACACACAUCUUGCAUUUACAGAACAUCUUUCUCUCUAUCAACGCUGUUUUUACGCUACACACAGUUUCUGUUUAAUCUCAGUUAUGAAGCCAUCGAUUUCAUGUUAAUAUUGUAACACAUCGCCACAGGAGCACAAAGAGUUCUUUCUGAUCAGCAGAAAAGCACCUUGGCUUCGUGCUCGUCCAAAGGCACAUGCACUCGGCACACAAACAGAGUCGCGCGCACUCGCUCGGUACACAUACACACACAGAAAACCUUUUACGUGUGACGCACAAGGAGACAGGGCGACAAUGGCGCUCUUAUUGUUAAUUGGCUGUUUAAUCCUGAGGAAUGUGUGUGAUUAGUACCCACCGGUGGGUCAGGAUCUUGCUCAACACUCUUGUUCACAAUGGACAGGCUGUAACAGAGAUGUGAGAGUGAGCAGGCGCGCAAAUGCACACUUGUGCACACACUCACACAGACGGACAAAGGUGUGCAAAUAGUGGUGCAUGGGUAUCACAUAAAACACACACAUAUACACAGACAAUUGAGCAUCAAUACACAUGUGCAGAUUGAGAGGCCCUCUCACAAAGUACUAAAGUGACCACACAUACACAGCAAUCUACCCAGCAUGCAACUCAGUGGCAAAGAAAAACCAUAAUUGUGAUUUCAAUCAUAUAGUACUGCUCAUGCAAGGGACAUACAAUUUGCAGGAAACACAAUAUAUAGAUGUAGCUACACAUCUGCAUGUGUGUGUGUGCUCUUUUUUUUUUAACAAUCACACCUUCACAGCAGAAAUGAAAGCCAUCUCAGAAGAGCUGGAGGCUACAUCAUGAGCAUUGUCUGAUGGUCAUGAGACUGACUGCAUGCUAACCCAUAUUCUCUUUUGCCUUCUUUUGUCAGCAAAGUAAAACGCUUUUUUAAUGCCAUAAUAUUCAACACAAGUCUAACUUUAUAUGUAAAAAUUCACCCAUUGAGUAAGUGUACUGGUAAGUGAGGUAAGCCACUGGUUGCACUGAAAUGCAACGUGUCCUUAACGUUGUUUGUUUCGAUGUUGUUUGUCAAGAUUCAGAGGACACUUAGAGCACGCUACAGUGGCCUGCCUGCAUCAUGGGGUCCACUGUGCUGCUGAUGCAUAUUUACAGGAGUGUAAAAAGGUUAUGAUGGACAGAAAGGAAGGGUUAAUGGGACAGCCAAGACUGGUUACAGGUGGAUUGCUGGGUCGUGUGUGUGUGUGUGUGUGUGUGUGUGUGUGUGUGUGUGUGUGUGUGUGUGUGUGUGUGUGUGUGUUCUGUAGGAGGUCCAACCAGGCUGCAUCACUGCUGACACACUGCUGCUGGUAAAUCCAGCUUAGUGUGUCUAAAACAGGCCUACGAAAUCUGCCACAGGGCACCUAAUGCUAGGGCCGCUGUCACCCUCAAUCACUCACACACACCUAAUCCCCACGCUGUGACCCCACACACACACACACACACACACAUGGCCAGUGCUCUGGGCCCAUUUAGCUUGGCAGGCACUCACAGUACCAGGAGACACCAGCCACAGGGUCAACAUUUCAUAUGGUGGGGGAGUGAUGGGGGAAAAGGAAGGAUAAAUGCGAGGUAGAGGGGUAUGAGCUGCAGGAGUUCAGGCAUGGAGGUUCCUGUGCAUGCAAUGCAGCAAUGGGGGUUGAAGAGCCAGCUGGUUUUACCGGUUAAAAUGCUAAACUAAAAGAUUUACACACACACACACACACACACACACACACACA